rnacentral:rRNA from 1 species
UACGGGGGGAGCAAGCGUUGUUCGGAUUUACUGGGCGUAAAGGGCGCGUAGGCGGCCCGGUAAGUAGGGGGUGAAAUCCUGCGGCUUAACCGCAGGGCUGCCUUCUAAACUGUCGGGCUCGAGCACGGUAGAGGCAGAUGGAAUUCCCGGUGUAGCGGUGGAAUGCGUAGAGAUCGGGAAGAACAUCAGUGGCGAAGGCGGUCUGCUGGGCCGUUGCUGACGCUGAGGCGCGACAGCGUGGGGAGCAAACAGG